AUGACCCAAGUACCGCGAGAAUGUUUGUGCCUCUACCGUCGCCGUGGAUCCGACAAGUACCCCUACAACAAGUGUACCUCUACCGUCGUCUUUGGAAUCGCUAAGAACGUCAAGCAUCCCUUCGAGAUGACGAGACCGACAAGUUCAAAUGACCCCAAGUACCUCUCCAAAAAACGAGACGUAUACCACUACCGUCGCUAG
rnacentral:rRNA from 1 species